rnacentral:rRNA from 2 species
AGAGUUUGAUCCUGGCUCAGGACGAACGCUGGCGGCGUGCCUAAUACAUGCAAGUCGAGCGGACAGAUGGGAGCUUGCUCCCUGAUGUCAGCGGCGGACGGGUGAGUAACACGUGGGUAACCUGCCUGUAAGACUGGGAUAACUCCGGGAAACCGGGGCUAAUACCGGAUGCUUGAUUGAACCGCAUGGUUCAAUUAUAAAAGGUGGCUUCGGCUAUCACUUACAGAUGGACCCGCGGCGCAUUAGCUAGUUGGUGAGGUAACGGCUCACCAAGGCAACGAUGCGUAGCCGACCUGAGAGGGUGAUCGGCCACACUGGGACUGAGACACGGCCCAGACUCCUACGGGAGGCGGCAGUAGGGAAUCUUCCGCAAUGGACGAAAGUCUGACGGAGCAACGCCGCGUGAGUGAUGAAGGUUUUCGGAUCGUAAAACUCUGUUGUUAGGGAAGAACAAGUACCGUUCGAAUAGGGCGGUACCUUGACGGUACCUAACCAGAAAGCCACGGCUAACUACGUGCCAGCAGCC